AAUAAAGAGCCUGAGCUAAAGGGUCAUUUUGAUAGAAUGAAUCAUGCAAUAUAAUUGCCUUUAUUA
rnacentral:tRNA from 1 species